rnacentral:rRNA from 1 species
AGUAAAUAGAUACCCGGGUAGUCCACGCCGUAAACGAUGAAUACUAGGUGUAGGAGGUAUCGACUCCUUCUGUGCCGCAGUUAAACACAAUAAGUAUUCCGCCUGGGGAGUACGGUCGCAAGAUUAAAACUCAAAGGAAUUGACGGGGGCCCGCACAAGCAGCGGAGCAUGUGGUUUAAAUUCGAAGCAACGCGAAGAACCUUACCUAGACUUGACAUCUUCUGCAUUAAUCGUAAUGGAUGAAAUCCCUUCGGGGACAGAAUGACAGGUGGUGCAUGGUUGUCGUCAGCUCGUGUCGUGAGAUGUUAGGUUAAGUCCCGCAACGAGCGCAACCCCUAUUAUUAGUUGCUAACAUUAAGUUGAGCACUCUAGUGAGACUGCCCGGGUUAACCGGGAGGAAGGUGGGGAUGACGUCAAAUCAUCAUGCCCCUUAUGUCUAGGGCUACACACGUGCUACAAUGGUGGGAACAAAGAGAUGCAAGACCGCGAGGUGGAGCUAAACUCAAAGCCCCAUCCCAGUUCGGAUUGUAGGCUGAAACUCGCC